UGGUUCUGGCAUCGAUGAAGAACGCAGCGAAAUGCGAUAAGUAAUGCGAAUUGCAGAAUUUCAGUGAGUCAUCGAAUCUUUGAACGCACAUUGCGCCCUUUGGUAUUCCGAAGGGCAUGCCUGUUCGAGCGUCAUUAUCACCUCUCAAGCCUGGCUUGUUGUUGGACCUCCAGGUCCGGGUUCACCCCCGACCGGUCUCAAUAGUAAUGACGGCGUCCGUGGGACUCUCGGUGCAACGAGCUUUUUACGAGGCACGCACAGAGUCGAAAAGUCCCCCGGCACGGUCUCCCAAAUCUUUUUUCUAAGGUUGACCUCGGAUCAGGUAGGAAUACCCGCUGA
rnacentral:misc_RNA from 1 species